rnacentral:rRNA from 1 species
UACGUAGGGUGCGAGCGUUAAUCGGAAUUACUGGGCGUAAAGGGCUCGUAGGCGGCCAACUAAGUCAGACGUGAAAUCCCUCGGCUUAACCGGGGAACUGCGUCUGAUACUGGAUGGCUUGAGUUCGGGAGAGGGAUGCGGAAUUCCAGGUGUAGCGGUGAAAUGCGUAGAUAUCUGGAGGAACACCGGUGGCGAAGGCGGCAUCCUGGACCGAAACUGACGCUGAGGAGCGAAAGCCAGGGGAGCAAACGGGG